AUUGAACGCUAGCGGGAUGCUUUACACAUGCAAGUCGAACGGCAGCGCGGACUUCGGUCUGGCGGCGAGUGGCGAACGGGUGAGUAAUGUAUCGGAACGUGCCCAGUAGCGGGGGAUAACUACGCGAAAGCGUAGCUAAUACCGCAUCCGCCCUACGGGGGAACGCAAGGGAUCGUAAGACCUUGCACUAUUUGCGCGGCCGAUAUCGGAUUAGCUAGUUGGUGAGGUAACGGCUCACCAAGGCGACGAUCCGUAGCUGGUGUGAGAGGACGACCAGCCACACUGGGACUGAGACACGGCCCAGACUCCUACGGGAGGCAGCAGUGGGGAAUUUUGGACAAUGGGGGAAACCCUGAUCCAGCCAUCCCGCGUGUGCGAUGAAGGCCUUCGGGUUGUAAAGCACCUUUGGCAGGAAAGAAACGAUGCGGGCUAAUACCCCGUGGAACUGACGGUACCUGCAGAAUAAGCACCGGCUAACUACGUG
rnacentral:rRNA from 1 species